GGGUUAGUGGCGAACGGGGUGAGUAAACACGUGAGUAAACCUGCCCCUCACUUUCUGGAUAACCGCUUGAAAGGGUGGCUAAUACGGGGUGUUCUGGCCUGCUCGCAUGGGUGGGUUUGGAAAGAUUCGACCGGUUUUGGUUGUUUUGGUGGGGAUGGCUCGCGGCCUAUCAGCUUGUUGGUGGGGUGAUGGCCUGCCAAGGCUUUGACGGGUAGCCGGCCUGAGAGGGUGGGCGGUCACACUGGGACUGAGACACGGCCCAGACUCCUACGGGAGGCAGCAGUGGGGAAUAUUGCACAAUGGGCGCAAGCCUGAUGCAGCGACGCCGCGUGAGGGAUGGAGGGCUUCGGGUUGUGAACCUCUUUCGCCAGUGAAGAAGGUCCUGCUCUUUGUGGUGGGGUUGACGGUAGCUGGGUAAU
rnacentral:rRNA from 1 species